UACGUAGGGUGCGAGCGUUGUCCGGAAUUACUGGGCGUAAAGAGCUCGUAGGUGGUUUGUCGCGUUGUUCGUGAAAACCGGGGGCUUAACCCUCGGCGUGCGGGCGAUACGGGCAGACUUGAGUACUGCAGGGGAGACUGGAAUUCCUGGUGUAGCGGUGGAAUGCGCAGAUAUCAGGAGGAACACCGGUGGCGAAGGCGGGAUCCUGGGCCAGUACUGACGCUGAUGCGCGAAAGCUAGGGGAGCAAACGGG
rnacentral:rRNA from 1 species